rnacentral:rRNA from 1 species
AACGAUAGUUUCCAGCUUGCUGGGGACUCCAGUGGCGCACGGGUGCGUAACGCGUAUGCAACCUACCUUGAUCAGGGGGAUAGCCCGACGAAAUUCGGAUUAACACCGCAUAAAAACACAGUACAGCAUUGUACAAUGUUCAAAUAUUAAUAGGAUUGAGAUGGGCAUGCGUGUCAUUAGCUUGUUGGCGGGGUAACGGCCCACCAAGGCGACGAUGACUAGGGGAUCUGAGAGGAUGACCCCCCACACUGGUACUGAGACACGGACCAGACUCCUACGGGAGGCAGCAGUAAGGAAUAUUGGUCAAUGGAGGCAACUCUGAACCAGCCAUGCCGCGUGCAGGAAGACAGCCCUCUGGGUCGUAAACUGCUUUUAUUCGGGAAUAAACCUGUCUACGUGUAGAUAGCUGAAUGUACCGAAGGAAUAAGGAUCGGCUAACUCCGUGCCAGCAGCCGCGGUAAUACGGAGGAUCCAAGCGUUAUCCGGAUUUAUUGGGUUUAAAGGGUGCGUAGGCGGCUUAUUAAGUCAGGGGUGAAAGACGGUGGCUCAACCAUCGCAGUGCCCUUGAUACUGAUGAGCUUGAAUGGACUAGAGGUAGGCGGAAUGUGACAAGUAGCGGUGAAAUGCAUAGAUAUGUCACAGAACACCGAUUGCGAAGGCAGCUUACUAUGGUUUUAUUGACGCUGAAGCACGAAAGCGUGGGGAUCAAACAGGAUGAGAUACCCUGGGUAGUCCACGCCCUAACGAUGAAUACUCGCUGUAGCGAUAACAGUUAGCG